CUUGGUCAUUUAGAGGAAGUAAAAGUCGUAACAAGGUCUCCGUUGGUGAACCAGCGGAGGGAUCAUUACCGAGUACUAUAACUCAUAACCCUUUGUGAACCUUUAUACCUGUUGCUUCGGCGGCGCGCCUCCCGGGGCGUGCCCGCCGGCAUUAUCAGAAUCUCUGUUCGAACCCGACGAUACAUCUGAGUGUUCUAAGCGAACUGUUAAAACUUUCAACAACGGAUCUCUUGGCUCCAGCAUCGAUGAAGAACGCAGCGAAACGCGAUAUGUAAUGUGAAUUGCAGAAUUCAGUGAAUCAUCGAAUCUUUGAACGCACAUGGCGCCUUCCAGUAUCCUGGGAGGCAUGCCUGUCCGAGCGUCGUUUCAACCCUCGAGCCCCCGUGGCCCGGCGUUGGGGAUCUGCCCAGGCAGUCCCCGAAAACCAGUGGCGGACCCGUUGGGCCCUUCCUUUGCGUAGUAACAUCUGCCUCGCAUCGGGAGCCUGCGGGCUAUCCGGCCUCUAAACCCCCCUCAAGCCCGCUCCGGCGGCACCAAGGUUGACCUCGGAUCAGGUAGGAAUACCCGCUGAACUUAAGCAUAUCAAUAAGCGGAGGAAAAGAAACCAACAGGGAUUGCCUCAGUAACGGCGAGUGAAGCGGCAACAGCUCAAAUUUGAAAUCUGGCCUCGGCCCGAGUUGUAAUUUGUAGAGGAAGCUUCUGGUGCGGCGCCGUCCGAGUCUCCUGGAACGGAGCGCCAUAGAGGGUGAGAGCCCCGUAUGGACGGAUGCCAAACCUGUGUGAAGCUCCUUCGACGAGUCGAGUUGUUUGGGAAU
rnacentral:sRNA from 1 species